rnacentral:snRNA from 2 species
CUCUUCCUAUUAUCAUCAGAUUUGUAUCCAGUGGUCCGCUCAAUUCUUGAAUUGUAGCGUUGAUUUCUGCGAUAGUUCAAUGGCGAUGAGUAGUAUCUUACACUACCAUGUAUAUGGUGCUACCCUAUUGACAAAUCUCAGAGUAAUCAUACUUCUUGAGCCUGAGCUCGCUUCGGCUGAGCUCGGUUACGGAUACUAUAAGGCGUCAUAUUCCACCUCUUUUCACUGACGGCCGUCGGCUUAUGAAGUUAAAGAAAAACCAUGACAUGCCUACAUUA